rnacentral:rRNA from 1 species
UACGGAGGGGGCUAGCGUUGUUCGGAAUUACUGGGCGUAAAGCGCACGUAGGCGGCUUUGUAAGUUAGAGGUGAAAGCCCGGGGCUCAACUCCGGAACUGCCUUUAAGACUGCAUCGCUUGAAUCAUGGAGAGGUUAGUGGAAUUCCGAGUGUAGAGGUGAAAUUCGUAGAUAUUCGGAAGAACACCAGUGGCGAAGGCGACUGACUGGACAUGUAUUGACGCUGAGGUGCGAAAGCGUGGGGAGCGAACAGG